rnacentral:rRNA from 1 species
UACGUAGGGGGCUAGCGUUGUCCGGAAUCAUUGGGCGUAAAGCGCGUGUAGGCGGUCCGGUAAGUCCGCUGUGAAAGUCGAGGGCUCAACCCUCGAAUGCCGGUGGAUACUGUCGGCUUGAGUACGGGAGAGGCGAGUGGAAUUCCUGGUGUAGCGGUGGAAUGCGCAGAUAUCAGGAGGAACACCGAUGGCGAAGGCAGCUCGCUGGGACGGUACUGACGCUGAGGCGCGAAAGCGUGGGGAGCGAACAGG